UACGUAGGGGGCAAGCGUUGUCCGGAUUCAUUGGGCGUAAAGAGCUCGUAGGCGGCUUGGCAAGUCGGGUGUGAAACCUCCAGGCUCAACCUGGAGACGCCACCCGAUACUGCCAUGGCUAGAGUCCGGUAGGGGACCACGGAAUUCCUGGUGUAGCGGUGAAAUGCGCAGAUAUCAAGGAGGAACACCAAUGGCGAAAGCAGCUCUCUGGGACGGUACUGACGCUGAGACGCGAAAGCUGGGGAGCGAACAGG
rnacentral:rRNA from 1 species